CAUUGACGACCACCAGCAGCAGCGGUACCGCCCCCUGUAGGCGCAAUUCGCCCACAAACCAGAGGCUCGGUUUCAUUCUGCGGGUUUCCUGCGUUAAAGCCGGCUUAAUAUCGACAAUGCUACGCAUAUGAGCUCGUCCUGAACUCAUUUUUUUUUCUCCCAACAUGCCCCCGGUGUGGGUCUGAAGCGGCGGGAAGAACAUAAGAAGCCGACCGAGCGAAAUGCAUCCUCCUCGCGCUGAACCUGUUCCACCACCCUCCACCCGCCGCACACAAAGCCUGUGAAGCAGGCCGUUGUUUUUCCUCCCACUGACACCGCGCCGACGAUGCUCAAACAUGUCGGGGAAUCAUUACAAAGGCAACGAAGUCAGCUGCUGCAUCAAAUACUUCAUUUUUGGAUUCAACAUCCUGUUCUGGCUCCUGGGCAUGGCCUUAGUUGGAAUUGGACUGUGGGCAUGGAGUGAGAAGGGAGUCCUGUCCAACAUCUCGUCCAUCACAGACCUGGGGGGCCUGGACCCGGUCUGGCUCUUCAUGGUGGUCGGGGGGGUCAUGUUCAUUCUGGGCUUUGCCGGAUGCAUUGGUGCACUGCGGGAGAACACGUUUCUACUAAAGUUUUUCUCCGUGUUCCUGGGAAUCAUCUUUUUCUUGGAGCUGACGACGGGAGUCCUGGCGUUCGUCUUCAAGGACUGGAUUAAAGACCAGCUCAACCUGUUCAUCAACAACAACAUCCGGGCGUACCGCGACGACAUCGACCUCCAGAACCUCAUCGACUUCACUCAGGAAUACUGGGAGUGCUGCGGUGCGUUUGGGGCCGACGACUGGAACCUGAACAUCUAUUUCAACUGUACUGACGGGAAUCCCAGUCGGGAGAAGUGUGGAGUUCCCUUCUCCUGCUGCACCAAGGACCCAGCGGAGGACGUAAUAAACACUCAGUGUGGAUACGACAUUCGAGCCAAACCAGACUCGGAGCAGAAGGACUACAUCAACGUGAAAGGCUGCGUGCCGCAGUUUGAGAAGUGGCUGCAGGACAACCUCACCCUGGUGGCCGGGAUCUUCAUCGGAGUUGCACUACUGCAGAUCUUUGGGAUUUGUUUGGCCCAAAACUUAGUGAGUGACAUCGAAGCCGUGCAGGCGAGCUGGGUGCCCCCUCCUUUCUCCAUGCGUCGCCUCCCACCACACCCCGGCAAGAAAGCCUCGGCGUACUACUCGUGAGCCGGAGAAAACGCACGCGCCGCGUGUGUGUGUGUCUGUAGCCGUUUCUUUACCUGAUGCUGAAGCAGCGUGUCAAUCCUAACAACAGCUCCGGGUCCUUGAACGCAUCGUCCGCGAAGCCCUUCGGAGGACCACAUCGAUCACCCGCACCAUCCUGCUCACUGAACCAGCACCUUCUUUUCGAGGCACUAAUAUGUGAAAUGCUCUGUACAUAACACUGUGUGACUUGUGUAACAAGAGAGUCGUUGCGGAGGACGGUUGAACACGCACCACACGCAGGUCGUCGCAGCGCUCCGGUUUUUAUAGCUACGUGUAGAGAGUAGGCGUUUUGAUACAUCUUUUUGAUAUUAGAUCGGUAUUUUUCACUGUGGUAAAUACCGCUGCAUUGCUAAACCCGUCACGUAGGACUGUAAAAUAUAGUUGCAUUCAGUGGCGCCAGACAUCGUCUGAAUACUCCCUAGAUAUUAACUCAUCCAGCAUUAAAGCGGAAAAGACUACAAAUUCCUCCAAUUAUUUAGCAUACUGAGUUACUAAUGGCCUAAGGCAACUUUAGGGAUAAUGAAAAGCAGUUAUUGGUGGCUGGAAGUUUUCCUACUCUGAAUACUGACCAUGAAGUAAUCCCUUCGUAGCGCUCUCUCUCUCUCUCUCUCUCUCUCUCUGUUUAACAAAUGCUUUCCAGAGUUGGAAGCUGAAGGUGAAAUCAGGCUGUAACAGUCAGAGUGAGCCGAAUUAAGGCGUCGUCCAGACAACGCGUUUGGUCCCCAGCAACUAAAAAUUAGGAUCGGGCAUCGAGCGCCGCUCCCAACUCGGAAUUGUUUCAAAAAGUCACUAUUCCAAAGGGAAUCGCUGUUUAUUGGAAUUGCAUGGACAACGUAGUUUCAGAUCUGACUACGGUUCCAAAUUUAAAGUGCAAUUACGGUGUUUUUUUUUCUCUCAACCUGGACCUUUUAUGUGCCUAUGAUUUUGUGUCUGAAGUGACCGAUGGGGACAACGUUUGACAUCUGUCCGGUGUAAGAGAGAUCGCUGCAGUCGGCAAAACGAGCACUUUUAUGAAGGUAAAUACAAGCUGGACCGCAUCUGCAAAAGUGCGUUCGCUGAACCCACCAGACUCCAUGUAAGUUAUCAGUACUUUUAGCGUCGUAAAAUACACUUCAUUCAAAGUCGACAGAAACGAGGUUAGGUGGUUUACUGAUUUACAUGUAGAAAUAGGUUUGCCCUGUACCCACUAAAAGUGUUGCUUUUUUAAAUGGAGUCUGGUGGGUUUAGCGCUGGGGGCUUCAGAGCUGUUUCUGGUUAAACAGAAAGGUCUCAAAGAGGUCUUAAACGUCUGUCUCGGUAGGGAUCCUUCCCAUAAUGUUGUCAGACGCUUCUGUCAGUGGAAAAACAAGCACUUUUUUGAAGGUAAAGACAAGCUGGACAGUAAUCCUAUUAACUUCCAUCGUAGCUUGGUUGUCCCCUGCAGACUGCAGAGAUCUCUCUUAAUACUGGACCCAUGUCACGGAUCGUUGUUCCCAUCAGGAACAUGGGG